CCUGGUUUAGCCUAAGACACAGAUACAGUAGGUACCGGCAUGAGUGUGAAGUGGCUAUCAUCAGGGUGAGAAGGAUACAAUGGAGGAUCUUAGCGCAUCUGUCCCCUUUGGAAAGACCCAAGAGAUCUGAAACAGCAAAAUCGAACAAGAUGCUUGGCCAAAGAGCCAGACAGUUUGGUGGCUGAACACGGAGACCUUCGUUCCUGAAGUACAUAGGGACCCUCAUCAACAUGCCGCAGCACCUUCAAAAAGUGUGAACCAGCACACGACCUUAAACAUCUGGCUUCCAAGGAUGCGUCAAAAAUCCCCUGACCUGAACUUUGCCCAAAUGAAGGCCAUAGAGAUGAGGGCUGACCCACUCUUUCAGAGACACUCAGACCCAAUCUGUGACUGGACUC